AUUGAACGCUGGCGGCAUGCCUUACACAUGCAAGUCGAACGGCAGCACGGGUGCUUGCACCUGGUGGCGAGUGGCGAACGGGUGAGUAAUACAUCGGAACGUACCUUAUCGUGGGGGAUAACGCAGCGAAAGCUGUGCUAAUACCGCAUACGCCCUGAGGGGGAAAGCGGGGGAUCGCAAGACCUCGCGCGAUUAGAGCGGCCGAUGCCUGAAUGGCUUGUUGGUGGGGUAAAAGCCCACCAAGGCGACGAUCAGUAGCUGGUCUGAGAGGACGAUCAGCCACACUGGGACUGAGACACGGCCCAGACUCCUACGGGAGGCAGCAGUGGGGAAUUUUGGACAAUGGGGGCAACCCUGAUCCAGCAAUGCCGCGUGAGUGAAGAAGGCCUUCGGGUUGUAAAGCUCUUUUGUCAGGGAAGAAACACCGGCUCUAACACAGUCCGGGAAUGACGGUACCUGAAGAAUAAGCACCGGCUAACUACGUGCCAGCAGCCGCAGUAA
rnacentral:rRNA from 1 species